rnacentral:rRNA from 1 species
AAACCCACCCCCUUCGUCAGCUUACCCUGUGAAGGAAAUAGUAAGCAUAAAUGGCCAAGCCAAAAACUCCACGUCGAGGUGUAUCGUAUGGGGUGGGAAGAAAUGGGCUACAUUCUCUACUACAGAGAAUACAAAUUGUAAUUUGAAAAAAUUACCUAAAGGAGGAUUUAGCAUUAAGUAAGGAAUAGAGUGCCCUGCUGAAAACAAU